rnacentral:ncRNA from 1 species
AACCUGGUUGAUCCUGCCAGUAGUCAUAUGCUUGUCUCAAAGAUUAAGC